GUACGUAGGGCGCAAGCGUUGUCCGGAAUUAUUGGGCGUAAAGAGCUCGUAGGCGGUUUGUCACGUCUGCUGUGAAACCCCGAGGCUCAACCUCGGGCUUGCAGUGGGUACGGGCAGACUAGAGUGCGGUAGGGGAGACUGGAAUUCCUGGUGUAGCGGUAAAAUGCACAGAUAUCAGGAGGAACACCGAUGGCGAAGGCAGGUCUCUGGGCCGCAACUGACGCUGAGGAGCGAAAGCGUGGGUAGCAAACAGGAUUAGAUACCCUGGUAGUCCACGCCGUAAACGUUGGGCACUAGGUGUGGGGCUCAUUCCACGAGUUCCGCGCCGUAGCUAACGCAUUAAGUGCCCCGCCUGGGGAGUACGGCCGCAAGGCUAAA
rnacentral:rRNA from 1 species